AUUGCAACUCCACAAGGGAAUGGUACUGUAGAUUUUUCCUUUUUCACUGAUCUCUGCAUAUAAAUUCGUGAAGAGGCAAAAGCAACAAAGCCACCUCUUUGUUGAUACAAAAUGCAAAACAGAUCUUUGAAAGUUUUUUGUUGUUUGCUUUUGGUUUUCCAUAACUGAACUAGAGAAGAGGGACUAGGGCUGCCUAAUUAUGCAGUGGGACUACCCCCUGGUUGAGGCUGAAUACUUAUAGCCCCUUUCAUUUCACUUGUUCUGAGCUCAUACUAGCCCUUCCCCAGUUCUAAACCAGCUGUAAUCUAACCUGCUUGGGAGGCCAUCUUCUGUCUUUGUCGUAGUCAUGAGAGAAGUGGGAGUUCAGGGAAGCAGGGGGUGAACAUUUCAAGUGUAUCUGACCAUACAAGAAUUAAAAUAAGUGGACAGAGCGCUAACUCAGUAGUUUUUUAUUCCUUGUGCCAGAAUAUGAAUAGGAAAGGAACCAGUAGCAGG
rnacentral:lncRNA from 1 species